GGCCUUAUGGUCUAGUCGCAUGAUUCCUCGUUUGGGUUGAAAUUCGAGGAGGUCCUGGGUUCAAUUCCCAGUGAGGCCC